AGAAAGACAAAGAACGGGAAGAGUAACAGAGAUUUGGACUCAUAGAGAGAAGGUGUCACCGGCUGAAAGCACCUUUGAGAGAAGAAACUGUGAAGUGCCCCCGGGAGUCGAUCCUGUGAAUGGAGUAGCAGGGUACGUCAGGCACACGUUACGUGCGUGAAAGUGAAAGAAGUAUAACUUCUUUUAUUAGAGUGGAACCGCGGAUAGAACUUCGUCUCUAGA
rfam:Ruminococcus torques L2-14 draft genome.